UCGAAACCGCAUGGUUUUGAUUUGAAAGGCGCUUUCGGGUGUCGCUGAUGGAUGGACCCGCGGUGCAUUAGCUAGUUGGUGAGGUAACGGCUCACCAAGGCCACGAUGCAUAGCCGACCUGAGAGGGUGAUCGGCCACAUUGGGACUGAGACACGGCCCAAACUCCUACGGGAGGCAGCAGUAGGGAAUCUUCGGCAAUGGACGAAAGUCUGACCGAGCAACGCCGCGUGAGUGAAGAAGGUUUUCGGAUCGUAAAACUCUGUUGUUAGAGAAGAACAAGGAUGAGAGUAACUGUUCAUCCCUUGACGGUAUCUAACCAGAAAGCCACGGCUAACUACGUGCCAGCAGCCGCGGUAAUACGUAGGUGGCAAGCGUUGUCCGGAUUUAUUGGGCGUAAAGCGAGCGCAGGCGGUUUCUUAAGUCUGAUGUGAAAGCCCCCGGCUCAACCGGGGAGGGUCAUUGGAAACUGGGAGACUUGAGUGCAGAAGAGGAGAGUGGAAUUCCAUGUGUAGCGGUGAAAUGCGUAGAUAUAUGGAGGAACACCAGUGGCGAAGGCGGCUCUCUGGUCUGUAACUGACGCUGAGGCUCG
rnacentral:rRNA from 1 species